rnacentral:rRNA from 1 species
CAAGGUUCCGUAGGUGAACCUGCGGAAGGAUCAUUAUUGAAUACGAUUGGUACUGAUGCUGGCCCUUCACUGGGCAUGUGCUCGUCCAUCUAUUUAUCUUCUCUUGUGCACAUCUUGUAGUCUUGGAUGAACCCUUGCGCAUUCGUGCGGUCUGGGAGUUGCGAAUUAAAACCUUGCUUCUCCUGCUUGUCCAAGGCUAUGUUUUCAUAUACACUAUAAAGUUACAGAAUGUCAAUUAACGACUUGUGCUUGUCACGGUCAUUAAACCUAUACAACUUUCAGCAACGGAUCUCUUGGCUCUCCUAUCGAUGAAGAACGCAGCGAAAUGCGAUAAGUAAUGUGAAUUGCAGAAUUCAGUGAAUCAUCGAAUCUUUGAACGCACCUUGCGCCCUUUGGUAUUCCGAAGGGCAUGCCUGUUUGAGUGUCAUUAAAUUAUCAACCUUGCUCGCUUUUACCGGCUUGAGUUAGGCUUGGAUGUGAGGGUCUUUGCUGGCUUCCUUCAGUGGAUGGUCUGCUCCCUUUAAAUGCAUUAGUGGGAUCUCUUGUGGACCGUCACUUGGUGUGAUAAUUAUCUAUGCCAUCUUGACUUUGAAGCAAACUAAUGGGAACCUGCUCAUAACCGUCCUUUCAGGACAACUCUUGACAUUUUGACCUCAAAUCAGGUAGGACUACCCGCUGAACUUAAGCAUAUCAAUAAGCGGAGGAAAAGAAACUAACAAGGAUUCCCCUAGUAACUGCGAGUGAAGCGGGAAAAGCUCAAAUUUAAAAUCUGGCGGUCCCUGUGGCCGUCCGA